rnacentral:rRNA from 1 species
GACGAACGCUGGCGGCGUGCUUAACACAUGCAAGUCGAACGGACAGGCCCUGCGUUUGUUGGUUUCUCGAGUGGCGAACGGGUGAGUAACACGUGAGUAACCUGCCCUUGUCUUUGGGAUAACUUCAGGAAACUGGGGCUAAUACCGGAUAGGAGCUCCUGCUGCGUGGUGGGGGUUGGAAAGUUUCGGCGGUGGGGGAUGGACUCGCGGGUUAUCAGCUUGUUGGUGGGGUAGUGGCUUACCAAGCCUUUGACGGGUAGCCGGCCUGAGAGGGUGACCGGCGACAUUGGGACUGAGAGACGGCCCAGACGCGUACGGGAGGCAGCAGUGGGGAAUAUGGCACAAUGGGCGGAAGCCUGAUGCAGCAACGCCGCGUGCGGGAUGACGGCCUUCUGGUUGUAAACCGCUUUGGCCUGUGACGAAGCGUGAGUGACGGUAAUGGGUAAAGAAGCAACGGCUAACUACGUG